UAUGUGAUCGUCUCUCGCAUAUCAAUAAGCGGAGGAAAAGAAACUAACAAGGAUUCCCCUAGUAACGGCGAGUGAAGCGGGAAGAGCUCAAAUUUGAAAUCUUAAAGGGUUUCCCUUUACGAAUUGUAGUUUAAAGAAGUGUUUUCUGUUGAGGUUUUGGUAAAAGUUCUUUGGAAUAGGACAUCAUAGAGGGUGAGAAUCCCGUAUUUGACCUUUACUUUCAGCUUUGUGAUACACUUUCAAAGAGUCGGAUUGUUUGGGAAUGCAGUCCAAAAUGGGUGGUAAAUUUCAUCUAAAGCUAAAUAUUGGCGAGAGACCGAUAGCGAACAAGUACCGUGAGGGAAAGAUGAAAAGAACUUUGAAAAGAGAGUUAAACAGUACGUGAAAUUGUCAAAAGGGAAGCGUUUGACACCAGUGUUGUUUUUCUGAAAAUCAAUUAAAGAACUGUUUAUGCUAAGCUGUUUAGACUUUAUCAGCUAAUCUGCUUAGUUUUGAGCUUUUCUUUAAUGCACUUUUCAGUUAACAAGUCAACAUCAAUUUCUUUUGCUGUAAAAAAGCUUGAGGAAGGGUGGCUUGAGAUUCGUCUUAAGUGUUUAUAGCCUCUUGCCUAUGCAGUCGGAGAGAUUGAGGUCUGCAGCGUAGAUCCUUCGGGGCUAAAUGCAUUUGUGCUAAGUUAUAGCAUUUUAUAGACAACUUGUUGACUAUGAUUUGUCUUGUAGCUUACUCGCUUAUGUUAUUUUACCUACGCUUAGGAUGUUGAAGAUAUGCGCGACACG
rnacentral:rRNA from 1 species